GUUCUGGAAUCACACAGCAGUAUGAAUAUAGUAAAAACCCCUGAAGUGUACACUUCGCCCGGGUGAUUUUUAUGGCAGCCACCGGCUUCAAGACAAGAAAGAGAUUACCUGGUAUCUUCCAGUGACACCUGACCAGAUUUUUCAUCCACGAUAAUUUUACAGUGAUCUCCAGAGACCAGUUUAUUGCCAGGGAAUGAAAGAUCACAACCUAAAACAGAGAGGGAUACAUUGGAUGUGACCGUGGGGACUGUGCACAAAAGUGCCCUUUGCUUAAUCAAAGCACGUGGUUGAAAAUCAGGACCCAUGGUAUAUGCACGGUGGGAGACAACCUAAUCAAGUUUCAUAAAUCAUCACAAAAUUGAAGCGAGGACCAAGACUCAGAAAACAUGACUGAGCAAAUUACAGACACAUGAACACGCUUGAGAAAAUUUAAAACAGAAGGUGGAUGCAUCUACACACAAUGAUCUGAAUACAGUCAUUAUAUCCUCAUUAAAUUAAAGGGGGAAAUCCUUCAAUACUGUGUUCUCUCCUUAAACCAGAGGAAUAAAAGUUUUCAGGAGUUUUUACUAUCUAAUCGUGAAUUUGCUUAUAAGACAUUUAUACUGUAGCUACUAAGGUUUAUAGUUUUAUUUUUAAUAAGUAAAAACGGGAAGCAAUAUAAGUAAGUGUCCAUCAACUGGUGGUGAAUUAAAAAACAAACUGUGGGGAAAAAAA